rnacentral:rRNA from 1 species
UACGAAGGGAACUAGCGUUGUUCGGAAUCACUGGGCGUAAAGCGGGCGCAGGCGGACUAUCAAGUCAGAGGUGAAAUCCCAAGGCUUAACCUUGGAAUUGCCUUUGAAACUGAUAGUCUGGAGUGUGUGAGGGGGUAGCGGAAUUCCGAAUGUAGAGGUGAAAUUCGUAGAUAUUCGGAGGAACACCGGCGGUGUAGACGGCUUUCUGGACCAUUACUGACGCUGAGAUACGAAAGCGUGGGUAGCAAACAGG